rnacentral:rRNA from 1 species
GACGAAGGGGGCUAGCGUUGUUCGGAAUUACUGGGCGUAAAGCGCGUGUAGGCGGUUGCCCAAGUCGGGUGUGAAAGCCUUGAGCUCAACUCAAGAAAUGCACUCGGUACUGGGUGACUAGAGGACCGGAGAGGAUAGUGGAAUUCCUGGUGUAGCGGUGAAAUGCGUAGAUAUCAGGAGGAACACCGGUGGCGAAGGCGGCCCUCUGGACGGUGACUGACGCUGGAGACGGCGAAAAGCGUCGGGGAGCAAACAGG